GAACAAAAAACCAUAUUUCACCUCGUAGUGUAUGAGAUUAAGUACGUGAUCCGGCCGCAUGUCAACUGUCCCUUUCUCCAACCAGUAAGUAUGAGCACCUCUAUCUGAUUUGUAUUUGCCAGUUAAGGCAAAAACCAAAGCAGACAAUAAAACCAGUACCCAACUAGUAAUGCCUAGCUUCCUCUCUUGAGAAGAAGCAAAAGGAUAUAUAUAGUCCAGCCAAUCUAACCACGGAUCCCUCACUUUCCACAACUACUUCCUCUGUUUUCAGAAGGACGUCUGUUCUGGGGCUUCUCCCUAUUGGCACAACUGGAGAGUCCUGAUCAACAACACUCAA
rnacentral:lncRNA from 1 species